UACAGAGGGUGCGAGCGGUAAUCGGAAUUACUGGGCGUAAAGCGUGCGUAGACGGUUAUUUAAGUCGGGUGUGAAAGCCCCGGGCUCAACCUGGGAAUUGCAUUCGAGACUGAAUAGCUAGGGUACGGUAGAGGGAAGCGGAAUUUCCGGUGUAGCGGUGAAAUGCGUAGAUAUCGGAAGGAACAUCAGUGGCGAAAGCGGCUUCCUGGACCAGUACCGACGUUCAGGCACGAAAGCGUGGGGAGCAAACAGG
rnacentral:rRNA from 1 species